rnacentral:piRNA from 8 species
AGACUCUUAAUCUCAGGGUCGUGGGU